GUACUACCACCACAACCCAGAUCAUGAGACCAACAAUAGUCAACAACAGCAGAUUCAAGCCCAGCAAUACUCAGAUUACUAUGCAUAUAGAGGCCAUGAGGUGUACCAAACACCAUUCAAGGAGGGGAAGAAAAGAGGGCUGAGAAGCUUGAUCAGAAGCAGGUUGGCCAUAGGAAGUCCAUUGAUACAUUUGGACAGAGGACUUCACAGUAUAGAGGUGUCACAAGGCAUAGAUGGACUGAUAGAUAUGAAGCCCAGCUAUGGGACAACAGUUGUAAGAAAGUUGGAAGAUGCAGGAAAGUGAAGGUAUGUGUACAAAAUUCCAGCGGGCAGCGAAGGCAAGGUUGCCGGCCGGCUGCCCGCCGGUGAGAAAACAAAAUACGGGCCUAAAUCUUAUGGCUCUGAUACCAUGAAGAAAUUUAAUGUAUAAAGAGAAAUAGAGAAUUGUAUUAUUAAUUGAUUAUAUAUUUAUGUUUACAAUGAGUCCUAUAUAUAGAAGAUUAGAGGAGGUAGGUAUGUAGAAGGUGGAGUAGUAGGUGGAGUAGGUGAAGUGGGUGGAGUAGGUGUAGUGGUAGGUUUUGGUAGUAGGUGAAGUGGGUGGAGUAGGUGUAGUGGUUGGUUUUGGUAGGUUUUUUUAACAAAACUAUAGUACGAGUCUUGUUUUAUUAUUGUUUAAUGGAUAUCUUGUGAAUUUGUUCUAUGUUCAUUUUGGCUUUCUCCUUGUCCUUACUGUGCAUUCAUCUGGAACAAUAAGACUCUUGUAUGCUAGUCUAUUGUUAGCAUUUGUUCAUACAUCUUUAUGAUUGGUAGUUUCUAAGUUCUAUUCCUGGGAGUCUCUUCAAGAUCAGAUCGAAAUAUUGGAGCUUGAAAAAUGCUUUGAAUUAACCCAAGUAGAUUAUCUAUAGCCAUUAUGGUGAUCUGGAGUUGCAAGGCUAUACAAACUGCAUCUUUGAACAACUUCAACAUUACAAGGAAAAAUAUUAGAAAAAGAUAAAGAAAAAUGAAAACAAGUAACAUAAUAAGAAUCAAGUCUAUGUAUUUAGAAAUUUGAUUUCUCUCUCUGCAGGUAAGAACAGAGAAUAAAUUUCAAUUCAUAUAAUCUAAUGAAUUUACGAAUGUUCCUUUUCUUCUAAACAAUUCAUAUACUGUAGUAUUUCCAUAUCAUUCUGUUGAUAUUUAUUGACAUUCUAUGUAUGUAGUAUUCCCAUCAACUAAGUUGUUGCAUGGUUGAUUUCAAUGAAGUGGGAAACCAUCUAUCUGUUAAGAAGCUGAUUGGUGCCUGUGAGUUUUUUAUACAUCUGCAUCCUUGUAAUUUACACCAAUUCUUCUUACUGGAUGUGCAAUAUUUUAUCCAUUUAUUUUCUUAUCUAACCAAUAAUAAAACUCAAAAAAUAUAUCUCUAUACACUUAUAUAAUAAGAGGGAGUUGAUAGUGCUACAGUAAACCAUGGCUCUCAUUUUUUUUCCCGGUUUUGCCCCCUGAGUUUUCUCUAUAACACUCCACUUUGUUUUAUGAGGUGUUGGAUUGUUUGGUAAAUUCAUAUCCGUAGUGAAAGCAUUGUUCUUUGAUUAUUGUGUGGACAUGAGUUGUCCAUGUAAAUUGUGGAAGAAUUUAAAAGUCAAAUAUCACAAUUGUCUAUGAGAUACAAGUAAUUUAUUUGGAUGGUUAGGAUGUAUUCAUUGACAAAUCCUACGUCUAUCACACGUCUACUUCCAAGAAACUUCCAAUGUCGGCUGACUCUGUUCCCAUGCUUCUCUUUCAAACCCAUUCUUUGUUCUCAUCUUCCUCUCAUAAUCUCUUCCAUUUCUCAUGCUAAUUGAUCAAAUCCCAAAUCUCGCUGGGCCUUUCUUGCUAGGCGAGCUCAUCCCAAAUCUCUCAGCUAUUUCAUCUAUCUCUUCCCAUCUCACAUCACAGGUAGAUGUAUUGUCAAACAAAGCAUGGAAGCGAGAAGGAAUGGGAUAACCAGACCCUUCAAAGCUUAACCCUAAUUCCACCCAAUCUUCUUACAAAUUCAAAGGCGAACAACCUUUUUCUCAAAACUUUGGGCUUCAUGCUUUGUUUGAAUUUGAAACCCUAAUGAAACACUUAAAUUUACUUUUUUUGAUCCGUCUAUUACGCGAAACAAAAAUGAAGAGCUUCUCGACUAUGAGGGAGAGGAAAAGAAAGUCCCAGAAUUCGUUACCACCAAAGCCAGUUUUCUUUGCAUUGAGGUAAUUAAUUAAUUAAUUAUUUUUUAUGCUUUAAGGGUUUAGUUUGUGGAUUUAACAUGUACCCUGUCUUAUUUUCAAUUGUGUGUGUGUGUGUGUGUGUUUUUUUUUUUUAAUUAAUUAAUUUAUUUAUGAUUUUCGUUUCUAUUGCUGGAAUUCAGCACAUGCAACUAAUAAUUUUCAAUAAUCCUUUCCAUCUGAAGGUUUGAAAGGUUCAAAUUUGGACCACAACAGUUAGUUUAUUAAGGUUAUGGUAAUUUUCUUUGUGUUUAAUUUUACCACCCUUCAAAGUUGCAUCAUGAGAUGUAUCAGAAAAUUAUAGCCACGUGUGAUUGCGAAACUGGUAGUCAGAUGUCCUUAAAUGUGAAUUCAAUUAGUGAAAUUUGUUGGUCUUUUUUUACAUUCUCUUAGACUAUUUAAGAAAGUUGGAUGUAUAACUUAUUAUGAUUCUUUGGUUAUAUGGUGGAAGCAGGUGGAGUUUGGAGCCUAUGGCUAUGGUUGUAGUAUAGCUUAUUCAUCUGGCUGCUUUUUUUUGGUACUUUAAAAAAGCCUCAAGGUAGUUGUUUGUGUUGGUGUUCUUGUUACUCUAUUUUGCUGAAGCUCAGUCAAGUGGAAGCGAGUGCAAGACAACUUGUGUUCUUUCUUUCAGAUAUUGAUGCGUCAGAUUAACUGUCGACUCCAUCGAAGAGGAAGAGGACCAGAAAGUCCACAACUCCAUUGCCACCAAAGCCAUCUGCAAACCUACCAAGAAGUCAGUUUAUGUUUCAUUCUCAACUAUAUAUAUGUGUUUGUGUGCACGCAUAUUGUGUAUCUUUAUUGCCCGUUGACAUGCUUAUGUUUGUAAAUGUUGAUCUUAUUAAUUUUUGUAUUGAUAGCUCAAACACUUUUUGUAUUUGCUAAUUUUUAGGGUACUUACUCACCUUUUUAUGUCCA